rnacentral:tRNA from 1 species
GCCGAAGUGGCGGAACUGGCAGACGCGCAGCGUUGAGGGCGCUGUGGGCAUUUUGCCUGUGAGGGUUCGAAUCCCUCCUUCGGCA